rnacentral:rRNA from 1 species
CGGGUGCUAUACAUGCAGUCGAGCGGACCGACGGGAGCUUGCUCCCUUAGGUCAGCGGCGGACGGGUGAGUAACACGUGGGUAACCUGCCUGUAAGACUGGGAUAACUCCGGGAAACCGGGGCUAAUACCGGAUGCUUGAUUGAACCGCAUGGUUCAAUCAUAAAAGGCGGCUUCGGCUGCCGUUUACAGAUGGACCCGCGGCGCAUUACCUAGUUGGUGAGGUAAUGGCUCACCAAGGCAACGAUCCUGAGCCAACCGGGAAGGUGGACGGCCGACGUGGGAACGAAAACCCGACCAUACUCCUAAUGGAAGCAGCAGUAAGGAAUCUUCCGCCAUGGAGGAAGGUCUGACGGAACAACGCCGCGUGAGUGAUGAAGGUUUUCGGAUCGUAAAGCUCUGUUGUUAGGGAAGAACAAGUACCGUUCGAAUAGGGCGGUACCUUGACAAUACCUAACCCUAAUCCACGGGUAACUAAGUGCCAGCCAGCCGCGGUAAAGGUAUGUGGCUGCGUUG